AAGUUUCACACUCCAAACAGAGGGGUCCAAAGUCCGCUAUCGCGAGAGUAAACUGCAUCGCGCGAAGAAGCUCUUUUCAUCCCUUUGGUGCGCUCUGAGCCGCAGAUGUUUAUAUUUAAAUAUGACGUGCCGGUGUUGGUCCUGGCUGCUCCCUGCUUUUUUGCCAUCUGCCUCGUGUUUGCCCUGUGUGACAGCACCAGGUAUUUGACCUGCUUCCCUCCUGACGAGGACAUUUGCAAAGAUGAGGGAGGCAUCUGACGCUGGAAAGGACCGAGUCGAUCACACGUGGAACCCCACGAGGGGUCCUCCAUGAACGUUUCCCUUUCUUCUAUCGAGUGAAGCUCCCGGUCGCGACGGAUCGAUUGAGCGUCUGUUUGACGGUGAGAAAUGAGCCCGUUAACGUGGAGACCGAGCUCGCUCCACAUUCAUCUGAGAGACGGUGAAUCAUCGCGCUGCUGUUGGAGCCGAUGGAGGCACAUCUGCUCCUUUCCAAGAACUUAAAUGAAGAGCAAAAUGA